rnacentral:rRNA from 1 species
UGAUCCUGGCUCAGAACGAACGCUGGCGGCGUGGCUAAGACAUGCAAGUCAAACGGUCCGGCACUUAUUUGUUUACAAAUGAUUGCCGGAUAGUGGCGAAAGGGUUAGUAAUAGAUAGGUAACGUACCCUGUGCUUCGGAAUAGCGUCUCCCGCACCUAUUUUGCGAUCUCUCUUUAGAAUGUUGUGGCUGAUUUCCAUACCAGUUAUGGUCUUUUGGUCAAUGGUGGGGAGAUUUCAAAAUAGGUGCGGGAUUCCGAAAGGGUCGGUAAUACCGAAUAAUAUCGCUUGUCGAUGGUCAAGCGAGCAAAGAUUUAUCGGCACGGGAGCGGCCUAUCUCCUAUCAGCUUGUUGGUGAGGUAACGGCUCACCAAGGCAGCGACGGGUAGCGGGACUGAGAGGUUGGCCCGCAACAUCGGGACUGAGACACUGCCCGGACCUCCACGGAGGGCUGCAGUAACGAAUCUUGCGCAAUGGGCGAAAGCCUGACGCAGCGACGCCGCGUGCGGGAGGAAGUCCCUCGGGAUGUAAACCGCUGUCAGGGGUAAGAAAGUCCGCUUCGGCGGAUUGAUCUAACCCAAAGGAAGUCACGGCUAACUUCGUGCCAGCAGCCGCGGUAAGACGAAGGUGGCGAGCGUUGUUCGGUGUUACUGGGCUUAAAGCGUGUGUAGGCGGGUUGGUUAGCGUCCUGUGAAAUCCCUCGGCUUAACCGAGGAAUGGCUGGGCGAACUGCCAACCUUGAGGCAGGUAGGGGCGCAUGGAACUCUUGGUGGAGCGGUGGAAUGCGUANAUAUCAAGAGGAACGCCGAUGGAGAAAUCAGUGCGCUGGGCCUGUCCUGACGCUGAUACACGAAAGCGUGGGGAGCGAACGGGAUUAGAUACCCCGGUAGUCCACGCUGUAAACGAUGUCUACUAGGUCGUGGAGGUUCUGACACCUGCACGGCCGAAGCAAAAGUGUUAAGUAGACCGCCUGGGGAGUACGGUCGCAAGGCUAAAACUCAAAGGAAUUGACGGGGGCUCACACAAGCGGUGGAGCAUGUGGAUCAAUUCGAAGCAACGCGCAGAACCUUACCUGGGUUUGACAUGCUUGGAUGCUUGCUGAGAAACCGGUUAAGCUGCCCUUCGGGGUGAAACUUGCACAGGUGCUGCAUGGCUGUCGUCAGCUCGUGUCGUGAGAUGUCGGGUUAAGUCCUCUAACG